rnacentral:rRNA from 1 species
UACGUAGGGUGCAAGCGUUACUCGGAAUUACUGGGCGUAAAGCGUGCGCAGGCGGUUUUGUAAGACGGAUGUGAAAUCCCCGGGCUUAACCUGGGAACUGCAUUCGUGACUGCAAGGCUAGAGUAUGGCAGAGGGGGGUAGAAUUCCACGUGUAGCAGUGAAAUGCGUAGAGAUGUGGAGGAAUACCGAUGGCGAAGGCAGCCCCCUGGGCCAAUACUGACGCUCAUGCACGAAAGCGUGGGGAGCAAACAGG